CGCUCUUCAUUUAAAUGGUCUGGAAAUCAUCCGUGUGUUUACUCCCCUGAUAGUUUAGUUGUAUGUUUGUGCAUGAUGUGUUGACUGAAUGUAGUGACUUAACACAGUUUCUCUCCGUGUCUCUGUCAUGGCGACUCAGAGAUCCAACCCUGGGACGUGUUGUAAAGCAGGAUCAGUGAGUACCAGCUUCAGAGCUUCAGGUUUAACAUUUGCAUUAGUGAAGUCCCUGAGUGCAAAGACAUAAAAACCAAAGAAAUCAUGGCCAUCAAGAUCAUCAUGAAGGGGGCCAAUGAUUCCAGGAACCCAACAGAGAGCUGCUCGCCGCGCUCGAGUCUCUGAAGACUGUUGGUGUCAUUCAUACUAAUAUUAAACUGCAUAACAUCAUGUUGGUGAACCAAAAAGACCAACCCUUCAGAGUCAAACUGACUUUGGUUCAGCUGACUUUGAUGUCAAGGGCACCGUCAUCGUGCAGCCAGUUGGAUACAGGUCUCCAGAUGUUACUCUGGGCCUUCCCAUCCCAGAGGCAGUAGCUAUGUGGUCUUUGGAUGCUGUUUUGGCAACCAUGUACCUCGGCAGCCUGCCAAUCCCCACAGAGGUGCAUGAAUUGCCUGUUGAAAACUAUUGUGAAGGACACUUUGGGUCAGCCAGAGGACGAGCUGUUACUGUGUGUAACGGCACCAACACCCUGCUCUACUUCAGCCCGAACCAAGGAGGCUCAAGUACAAGGCUGCGACUGGCUUCCCACCCCAAAAUCACAGAGGCAGCUCAACCAGGUUCAACUGUUGGGAUGACCUAGUGAUGAUGACGCUUCAGUCGCACCUGACUGGCCUAAAUGACACCUGUGAGGAAUCGGAUGAAGCUGCUCCAGCUGAUAAAGCUGCAAUCAACAAUCCCUCUACUGCUGAAGCUCCUUCUGUACCUACAGUACCAACAGCUGACUCCACUGAUGUCAGCAUCAACUCUGAUGGCGUCUCAGCCUCCGGCUCCAGAAUCACUCAGAGGCAGCCUCUUCUGUGCUGGUGUUGCUCUGUAGACAUUGUGGAAUGAUUCCCUGUAAUAAUCUACCGUGUCGUUCUUCAUGUAAUUUAUCUGCAUGUAAAA